GAAGGAGCACACUGUGGGCUCCGCCAUGGUCGCUGGCGCGGGCCCUGUGCGCGCGGCGCAGCGAGCCGGGGCGGGCAGGCUCCUCCCAGUCACGUCCACGAUUUCCAGCGAACAUCCCGGGGAUGGGCCUGGGCCUGGCGAGGGGUGGGCCUGCGGGAGGCCGGGCGAGGGGCGGCCCCGGCGCGUGGAAGCAGGGUACGGCGCCUGCGGAUCCCCUGGACGCGGACUCAGGCGGGGACAGCGUUGAUGGGGCGUCUGCUCCGCCCAGGCACCGUUCAGGGCGAGGCCUGGCCUUGAGGGGCUUGUAUAGUGGGAGUCACAAAGGACUCGCCAACAAGGCAACUGGUAGUGCUAGGGAGGCCUGCGGAGAAGGCGAAAUAGGUAAAAGGUGGUAGGAGGUGAGUGGCCGGGCUGCUUCGGGGGAGGUGGCCACUAGCCACAUGUGGCUGCUGAGCACUUCUGGGAUUUUUUGUUGUUGUUGUAUUUUUAUUUUUGGAGACAAGGCCUCACUGCAGGUUUGUUACAUAUGUAUACAUGUGCCAUGUUGGUGUGCUGCACCCAUUAACUCGUCACGUAGCAUUAGGUAUAUCUCCUAAUGCUAUCCCUCCCCCCCACCCCCGGUUUGUUUGUUUUUAAGAGUUGCAUGCAGGCCAGGCGCAGUGGCUCACACCUGUAAUCCCAGCACUUUGGGAGGCCAAGGCAGGCAGAUCCCCUGAGGUCAGGAGUUCU
rnacentral:lncRNA from 1 species